rnacentral:rRNA from 1 species
UGGGGAAUUUUGGACAAUGGGGGAAACCCUGAUCCAGCCAUCCCGCGUGUGCGAUGAAGGCCUUCGGGUUGUAAAGCACUUUUUGCAGGAAAGAAACGUCAUGGGUUAAUACCCCGUGAAACUGACGGUACCUGCAGAAUAAGCACCGGCUAACUACGUGCCAGCAGCCGCGGUAAUACGUAGGGUGCAAGCGUUAAUCGGAAUUACUGGGCGUAAAGCGUGCGCAGGCGGUUCGGAAAGAAAGAUGUGAAAUCCCAGAGCUCAACUUUGGAACUGCAUUUUUAACUACCGGGCUAGAGUGUGUCUGAGGGAGGUGGAAUUCCGCGUGUAGCAGUGAAAUGCGUAGAUAUGCGGAGGAACACCGAUGGCGAAGGCAGCCUCCUGGGAUAACACUGCCGCUCAUGCACGAAAGCAUGGGGAGCAAACAGG